rnacentral:rRNA from 1 species
NNUUGNGAUCUGUCAGAACGAACGCUGGCGGCAUGCCUAAACACAUGCAAGUCGAACGAGACCUUCGGGUCUAGUGGCGCACGGGUGCGUCACGCGUGGGAAUCUGCCCUUGGGUUCGGAAUAACAGUUGGAAACGACUGCUAAUACCGGAUGAUGACGUAAGUCCAAAGAUUUAUCGCCCAGGGAUGAGCCCGCGUAGGAUUAGCUAGUUGGUGAGGUAAAGGCUCACCAAGGCGACGAUCCUUAGCUGGUCUGAGAGGAUGAUCAGCCACACUGGGACUGAGACACGGCCCAGACUCCCUACGGGAGGCAGCAGUGGGGAAUAUUGGACAAUGGGCGAAAGCCUGAUCCAGCAAUGCCGCGUGAGUGAUGAAGGCCUUAGGGUUGUAAAGCUCUUNNACCCGGGAAGAUAAUGACUGUACCGGGAGAAUAAGCUCCGGCUNAUCCGUC